UACGAAGGGUGCAAGCGUUACUCGGAAUUACUGGGCGUAAAGCGUGCGUAGGUGGUUUGUUAAGUCUGUUGUGAAAGCCCCGGGCUCAACCUGGGAAUGGCAAUGGAUACUGGCAGGCUAGAGUGCGGUAGAGGGUAGUGGAAUUCCCGGUGUAGCGGUGAAAUGCGUAGAGAUCGGGAGGAACACCGGUGGCGAAGGCGGUUCUCUGGGCCUUACCUGACGCUGAGGAGCGAAAGCGUGGGGAGCGAACAGG
rnacentral:rRNA from 1 species